rnacentral:rRNA from 1 species
AUUGAACGCUGGCGGCAUGCCUUACACAUGCAAGUCGAACGGUAACAGGUCUUCGGAUGCUGGCGAGUGGCGAACGGGUGAGUAAUACAUCGGAACGUGCCCGAUCGUGGGGGAUAACGAGGCGAAAGCUUUGCUAAUACCGCAUACGAUCUACGGAUGAAAGCGGGGGAUCUUCGGACCUCGCGCGGACGGAGCGGCCGAUGGCAGAUUAGGUAGUUGGUGGGAUAAAAGCUUACCAAGCCGACGAUCUGUAGCUGGUCUGAGAGGAUGAUCAGCCACACUGGGACUGAGACACGGCCCAGACUCCUACGGGAGGCAGCAGUGGGGAAUUUUGGACAAUGGGCGAAAGCCUGAUCCAGCCAUGCCGCGUGCAGGAUGAAGGCCUUCGGGUUGUAAACUGCUUUUGUACGGAACGAAAAGCCUCUUUCUAAUAAAGAGGGGUCAUGACGGUACCGUAAGAAUAAGCACCGGCUAACUACGUG